rnacentral:rRNA from 1 species
UACGAAGGGGGCUAGCGUUGCUCGGAAUCACUGGGCGUAAAGGGUGCGUAGGCGGGUCUUUAAGUCAGGGGUGAAAUCCUGGAGCUCAACUCCAGAACUGCCUUUGAUACUGAAGAUCUUGAGUUCGGGAGAGGUGAGUGGAACUGCGAGUGUAGAGGUGAAACUCGUAGAUAUUCGCAAGAACACCAGUGGCGAAGGCGGCUCACUGGCCCGAUACUGACGCUCAUGCACGAAAGCGUGGGGAGCAAACAGG